rnacentral:lncRNA from 1 species
GACACAUUUUGAGCAUACUAACAUUGCAACAUUAUAUAUGGAUAAAUCAUUUUAAUCACUGAAGGCAGUUUUUAGAAUAGAUACCAAUAUGGUGGUGGGGGUGGAAUAAGUCAUGCUUUUAUUGCUUCCUUUACUGAGAUGAUUAAACACAUUGUCAGAAGAGUCUGAACUUAAACUUUUGCAUUGGGUUACACUAAUGUGCCCCAAGUCAGUUAGCCUAAGAUGAUGAUGCUCUUAAUACAGAUUUAGUGGAUAAUAUGAAAUCCCUUUGCAGAACUGAAUUCUGUAUAUAGUAAUGCCUUUAUUUGUUCUUUUAACUUUUAUGGUCUUUCGCCUUCCAUUUUGCAAAUAGAGCUCCAUAUUCUUCAAGGACCUCUGAUACUUGAGAAACAACUCUUAAUUU